rnacentral:sRNA from 1 species
ACUACCUGUUAGGUGAGGUUACCAUACGAAUAGAAGCUAUUGCUCGGAAAUGUCGAAAGACGCCAACGAGUCAGCUGGCACUGCCGAAUUAAGGCUUUGCCUAAUAUAGCCCGGACAGUAUUGUCCUAUGUCGUACGAAGCCAAAGCUCAACGAAGGGA